rnacentral:rRNA from 1 species
CAGCCGCCGCGGUAAUGCGAGAGGGGCAAGCGUUGUUCGGAAUUAUUGGGCGUAAAGGGCGCGUAGGCGGUUUGGCAAGUUUGGUGUGAAAUCUUCGGGCUCAACUCGAAGUCUGCACCGAAAACUGCCGGGCUUGAGUAUGGGAGAGGUGAGUGGAAUUUCCGGUGUAGCGGUGAAAUGCGUAGAUAUCGGAAGGAACACCUGUGGCGAAAGCGGCUCACUGGACCAUUACUGACGCUGAGGCGCGAAAGCUAGGGGAGCAAACAGGAUUAGAUACCCGUGUAGUCCCUGUCUCUUAUAC